GAAAUUAUGGCGGGGAAUAUGCAGAACACGGCACAUUAUGGCGAGAAAAUACUGUUACAUACAACCCUUGGGGUAUCGCUGGGUAAGCAUAAAGCUGUAAUUUCCUCAGCAGAGGAUAUGAAAGGGUUUUAUUCCGGGAAGACGGGACGAUGAAGAAAUAAAUUGCUUGGACAUUCCUGACUAUACAGUGUACAUGUAUUGUAUUUCUCUUAGGAGUUCCCUCCUCCAAGCUCCGCCAUGACACCAGAAGCUACGCGGCAAAGAUGGCAGCAAGGUACAGCCUUUAAGACUCAAAAGGAAGUAGUUAAGGCGAUCUUUGUGAAUAAUAUUGAAAGGCUUGGUCACCACUAUGCUCGAGUGUUUGAUAAAUCUUGGUGAAUUAGUACACCAGUGUCAGGAGGUCAAAAUGUAAAUAAAUGUAUAGUUACCGAG